rnacentral:rRNA from 1 species
AUUGAACGCUGGCGGCAGGCCUAACACAUGCAAGUCGAGCGAGCGGCGGACGGGUGAGUAAUGUAUGGGGAUCUGCCCGAUAGAGGGGGAUAACUACUGGAAACGGUAGCUAAUACCGCAUACUAUCGGAUGACCCCAUAUGGGAUUAGCUAGUUGGUGGGGUAAAGGCUCACAAAGGCAACGAGCCGUAGCUGGUUUGAGAGGACUACCAGCCACACUGGGACUGAGACACGGCCCAGACUCCUACGGGAGGCAGCAGUGGGGAAUUUUUGACAAUGGGGGAAACCCUGAUCCAGCCAUCCCGCGUGUAUGAGAAGGCCUUCGGGUUGUAAAGUACUUUUGGCAGAGAAGCGGUAUCUGCAGAAUAAGCACCGGCUAACUACGUGCCAGCAGCCGCGGUAAUAC